rnacentral:lncRNA from 1 species
GAAGAUGGGAUGAGUGUGAGGGUUUCGUGAGAUUUUUGCAGAGUGAUUUGUGAGGGAGAGAAUCAGUUUUUCUGAGUGUGUGUGUUCCUCUGUUGGUGUGAGGGAGCGAGGUAUAUGAGGGAUUUUCAGAGAUUUUGGUGAGGAGGUGAGUGUGAGACGCGUGGAGAGUUUGUUGGGAGUGGAGAGAGAUAGUGAGUGACAGGUGGAAGAGAGACAUUAGAGUUUCUAUUAUUUUUUAUUUUUCUUUUUGUUAUUGUUUUUUUUUAUGUGAUGAGGGAAUCCAAUGCAAAAAUAUUUUUUCAUAAUUAUUAUUUACUUAAAUAACAAAUCAUAAAAAGACUAACUAAUAUUUAAUUCAAGCACAUUCUAAUUAUUUUAAUUAAAUAUUUAACCAAAAAUAUUGAUCCCUUAAAAAUAGAAAUCGAGUACAAAUUUGUUCGAAAAAAAUGAACCGGUCACACUAAAAUUGUCAGGACAAAAAAUACUUAUUAAAAAAAUACAGUUUUUCUUCAAAUUCCGAAAUAAUUUUGCACCAAUUAAAAGGCUCAGGCGGGUCGAGAUAUAACCGAAACAGUCACUGUUGAUUCUGCCUGUUCUUGAGAAAUGAUUCAACUGAUUGGUCUGUAUUUUCAAUAAAUUCAUUUUGACUGACAUCUUAG